CAUCGCCUCUUGACAUCUAAAGAUAAGAGGUCCCGCCUGCCCAGUGACCAUGUGUUCAACGGCCGCGGUAUUUUAACCGUGCAAAGGUAGCGCAAUCACUUGUCUCUUAAAUAGAGACCUGUAUGAAUGGCACAACGAGGGCUCACCUGUCUCCUCUUCUUAGUCAAUGAAAUUGAUCUCCCCGUGCAGAAGCGAGGAUGCCCCCAUAAGACGAGAAGACCCCAUGGAACUUUAGACACUAAACUACACACCUUCUACCCUCCCCUCCUUCGAGUAACUAUGGUGUAGCCCGUUUCCUUGUCUUUGGUUGGGGUGACCCCGGAGAAUAAUGAAGCCUCCCUGAGAAAUAAGAGUAGUACUCUCACAACCAAGGCUAACAACCCUAAGUGCCAGAAUCUCUGACCAACUGAUCCGGCUUUCGCCGAUUAACGAACCAAGCUACCCUGGGGAUAACAGCGCAAUCCUCUCCUAGAGCCCCUAUCGACGAGAGGGUUUACGACCUCGAUGUUGGAUCAGGACAUCCUAAUGGUGUAACCGCUAUUAAGGGUUCGUUUGUUCAACGAUUAAAGUCCUACGUGAUCUG
rnacentral:rRNA from 1 species